UUAUUUAAAAAAAAAAAAAAGAAUUAAGCAGUUAAAAAUAAAAGUAAAACUCACAAAUCCCAACAUGGAUAGAUUAGGCAGUUAAUCCCACUUUUGCCCAAAAAAUAAAAAAUAAAAUUCAGCGUUUAAAACGAAAAUUGGUUCCGCCAAUUUAGUUAAAAAAAUAUCCUUUCAAAAUCAUGAUACCCUUGAAUCGUGAUAUCAAUUCCGUUCGUGACCAGAUUGUGAUAUCAAUUCCGCUAAUAUGUGAUUCACAACCGUUCGUGACCAGAUUCAAGAUCAAAACGUAAUUCCACGCCUUUGAAUAGUGAUAUCAAUUCCGUUGUAAAAGUUCCAAGAUAAGAUGGGUUAAUUGUUCUUUUUUCUUAUUAUUUCGCACUUUAAAGAAUUAAAACAAUGGUAAUGGCUAUUUAUUUCAAUUCAAAUACGGUAACAGUUGAAUUUAGUUCUUAUUUAUGUUUUACUGUAAUUGCUAUGCUCAAAUAAAAUUAUACAUACUCCAAUUGUAAUUUUCCUUUUGCAAAUUUUUGCUUAAAUUUGGAUGUGUUCUUUAAUGUUGAUUUUUUCGUAUGGCAGCUUAACUGAUUUAAUUUAACUAAUUCAAAAUUUUGAAGUACUUAACAACAUUUUUUGGAUUUUUUUUUGUUGUGAAAUCUUUUCAAUUUUCUGAUAUAUUUGCAUGCCCUGUGUUUUUUCCUGUAUAUAAUACCUCGUAUUUUUUUAAUUGUUUUUUGGACUAAAUCCUAAAUAGUUAAUAAUUACCUCAAUGUCUAAUGUAAAAGCGUUAAAAAGUCAAAACAAAUUACUUUAUAGCAAUUAAUUAGUAAUUCGUACUCCGUGUAAAUUUUAUUUGUUUUGGGCUAAAUAAUUAAUUUUCAUGCUUCUAGUUAAAGUCCUUAUUCUUAAGUACUUUUGUAGCAUGAUUACUCAGUAAUAUUAAAUAAAUAAUAGAUUCUUUUGGGUUUUUGAAUGCAUCGUGUAUGCAAUUUACUCCAUCUCUUUUUAUGUGUGUUCCUUUUGUCGAAUAAGUCAUAGUUCAUGUGUGUCAUAUCAUUAUUUAAUAUGUGAUACAUAUAGCUUUAUCUUUAGUAUUGUUGUCAUCUGUAUUAUUAUGCUUGAAGGCUAUAUUUGUUGUUUCUGUGGGUGUCAACUGGUGGGUAGUUUAGAAGAUUGUGUUGGGGGGGGGGGGGGUAUGGGAGGGCAGCAGGAGGUUUGAUGGUUGCAGGGGAAGUAGGUGGAGAUGGUAUGGUAAGGAGGGUGUAUAGGACUGGUCUUGGUUGUAGCCAUCCAAGCUCCAAGUCUUGUUUAUCUAACCGCCUCCCUAGUGCCUUCUCUUUUAUCUUCCUACUCUUUAGAAUCUAUUGCCAUGUCGUUAAUUUCAACAAGAGCAAUCGCAGGAUUUUAACUUAGGCCCUUGAAUAUUUUCCUACUCCUAGCAAGCCAGAUGCCCUGUAAUAGGAAAUAUAUACACAUGCCCUCAUUGGUCAUACUAUCAUAGAAUCUUUCUGCAAGUAGUUUGCUGUAGAUCGACUAGGAAAACUGAUUGUAAUAUUUUAAUGGUGGAAUUAUAAUUUAGGUGAAAGCUUGCAACUUUGAUAUAUGAAAGUAGAAAUUACAAGUUAUAGCUUGAGGCAACAACUCACCAAAAUGGCAGCUUGACACUACUUCUAACUACCCUACCCAAUACCCACAAAAUUACAUAAAAAUCCUAUUCAUUAACCACACUCUUUAAUGCUUCAUUGAAAUAUUUUGUCAUGUUUCCAAAUUGUUGUUGCUGGCUGAACUUGUCCCCUGCCUUGUUAUUCCUUUUUCCUCUCACAGACCUGAAUUGCUUGUAUGGGUGGGUUGACCUAAUUCAUUGCAUAGUUCAGCCAUUUUUUUUAUUCAAUCCUCGAGGAUAAAGUUCUGUUGACUCUCUAUAUCGAGACAUAAGCAUUCAGUUAUUCCAAAUAUGGCUUGCAAACUCACAGUCAUGGAAGAUGUGCUCAACCUUUUCUUUGAAAUAUAUAGAAUUUUGAUUUAUUUCACUUCACAUUUUGCAGUUUGUAUCAAGAUUUGUGCCUUAAUAAUAUUUCAUGUCCAAUAGUGAUGGAUUUGGUAAUGCUUUUCCAAAGGAAGUGUUUUUUCUUUGGUUUGUAUUUGCUUUUCCAAAGCCUUUUCUAAUUUAACUAUAACAAAUAAUAUUGAAGUAUCUACGGCAAAACUAAAUAUAAGAUCAGAGAUUACUGUUGCGAAAUUCCAUUCAAAUUAUUUCAUGGCCAAUAUUCACAAUUUAAAAUCAUGCUGCAAGCCUGCAAAGAGGGGGGGCAAAUGUAGGAAGGGUUUUUUUUCUGCAGUAUGCUACAAACUGUUGUGGUAGGGUAGGGGCGGCUAUGCACUUGCUGGCAGGAGAACCAUGUUUAAAAUUUAAAUAACAAUUAAAACAUAUCCAUGUAUAUAUAAAUUUUUGCAGAACCUAGCAACAACUCCACCAGAAAUAUUACCUUCUUAAUACAUAUAUAGUGAUUAAAAUAUAUUUUAUCUAUUUUUUCCAAUACACGUUAACAGAAAAUGAUGAAGAGGCUGAAGAGACAAGGGAUGAUGAUAACAACACAACGUGAUAUUAUGAUGAUGAAGGACAAAUUGGUCAAGAUCUUGAUCUUGAACUUGCAUCUUCACAUAGUGAACCACUCAACAACGACGAACUCAUGGAUACAGCAGAGGUAGAGGAAUUAAACAUUUCAGCAGGUAUAGUUGGAAAAAAAAGAGAGACAGUUUAUUGCAGGAAGCUUACCCUAUUACCUCCUGUUGAAAAACUAAAUGGUGAAAAACAUUUCAAAGUAAAGCCUUCUCGAUUAGAUCUGUUUGAAGAGGUGAAUGAAGUUAUAAAGAAAGCAAAUCUAGCAGUUGAAGAAGCAAAAAAGAUGCUGAAAAUGCUAUAUUAGAGGCAAAAAAAAGCUAAAAUAGAAGCUGAACAAGCCAAAAAAGAAGCAUAAGCCGUUAGGAAUGACGUGGACAAAAAAUUGCAGGGAACAAUGCGGUUUGGGAGAAGAAAUUUAAUCAAUUUCUAAAUUUUCUUGAAGCAGGAGGUUCUUAAAAUAAUGAUGAUUCAGGAAUUGAAGGUUCAUCAAAGUGAAGUAAAAAGGAGAAUGCAAAGCACGUUCCAAGAUACACUACGUACUAUUUAUUUUUAUCGAUCAAAUUACAUAUCGUACAAUAAUUUUGUUUUUCAUUUUUUUCUGUGUGUAUGUGAAUAGUGAUGAAUCAUACUAAUUUCAAAUAUUUUGUUUGUAUGGAUAUUAAACAUCAAUUAGAAAAUCUAUUUCUCCAAAUUUAUUAUAUGUUACGAAAUUUAUUUAUUGGUAUAAAAAAACUACCAAAUGUGAUUUAUUUCAUUGAAAAAUAUCAUUUAAAAUUUUUA